UACGGGGGGGGCAAGCGUUGUUCGGAAUUACUGGGCGUAAAGAGCGUGUAGGCGGCUUGGUAGGUCCGCUGUGAAAACUCGAGGCUCAACCUCGAGAUGUCGGCGGAAACCACUUGGCUAGAGUCCGGAAGAGGAGAGUGGAAUUCCCGGUGUAGCGGUGAAAUGCGCAGAUAUCGGGAAGAACACCUAUGGCGAAGGCAGCUCUCUGGGACGGUACUGACGCUGAGACGCGAAAGCGUGGGGAGCGAACAGG
rnacentral:rRNA from 1 species